CAGUGACCCUACUUCUUGCAAAAGAAGCACUCUAUCUUACUUUGAUCAGUCUUGAACUUGGGUUUCUAGGACUGACUCCCAGCAUCAAGCACCUUUUUAUUCUUCUUCCUUUUCUCUUUCUUAAAGGGAUGACGACUACCCAAAGAAGAUCCUCCCACUAGAUUCACUAUCUCCUUGUGAAGCUGGUGAUUUUUCUCAAAAGUUUGUAGCAACCCCAAC
rnacentral:lncRNA from 1 species